GGGUCUGUUCCCUCUUCUCUUUGGGUCUCUGCCCAUCCAUCUGGGUCUCUGCCCGUUCAUCUGGGUCUCUGUCCCCCUCGCUCUUGUUGACCACCUCCUUCUAGUCUUUCUCCCCUCCUCCAGCUGUUUUCUCCCCUUUGUCACUGCCUUUUCUCUUUCUGUCCUUUUUCCUUCUCUCUUUCCCUUCCCUGGGUCUCUAUCCCGCCUCCACCCAGUGCCUCUUUGACCCCUUUCUGAGUCUCUGGUCCCACUUCUUUGGGACUCUGUCCCGCUGUCCUUCAGUCUCUGGAUCUUUGUCCCUUUCUCUUUGGCUCCCACCCCAUCACCCUCUCUAACCCUCAUACUGGCCAGGACUUGAGGCUGCGUCACUGCAGAGAGUUGCAGAGUGGGGCCUGUCCUGCGGACCAGAGAGGUAGUUUUCCCGAACUUCCCCACCUGCAACUAGAUUCCCCUACUGCCUCCUGAUCCAGUAUCCUCGGGCAGUCUUCAAGCCCCCAAUGGGACCCAGGAGGGCAGAGAAAAGAAAUUGAGGCAUCCAACUCUUCUCCGCCCCGAAUUCUGGUGUUUCCCCAGGCAGAAGCAGUGAAACCUGAGGUGGGGUAAUUGGGCUUGGGUUGAGCGAGGCAUCUGGGCAAGUCGAGGGUGGGGGUGGAGGCUGGAGCAGGGGUUGAAUAAGCACUAGGGGGCUGGCAGUAUGGGCUAGGGUAAGGACCUAAGUCAGCCAUUCUCCCUUAUACCCUCCCCCUACACCCACCCCAACUCUACUUUUCUCUUCUGCAUUGACAGCAGCCAGGCACGGGAUCAAGUUACCAAAUCAGCGGUUUUUGCAGAGAGCCGGACACUAACUUUUCUCUGCAAAAAUCACGCGCUUAAAAAAGAAAGAAAGAAAGAAAGAAAGAAAGAAAGGAGCUACCCAGUAGGUUCCAUGGAGAUAGUGGAUUUUUACUGAGCAGUGGGGCCUCGGCGAUCACCCGGUACGCAUGCGCAUAACAGGCUUCAACCGAGAACUGCGCCUGCGCGAGCCCACUGCUUCACGGUUCGACCCCACGGACACGAGCGCGCGCCAGCCCCACUCGGGCGCGGCUUUUCCCGUCGCCACGGUCGAAGACGGCCACGUAGCUGCCCAAGAAGACAUCGCCGAGGAUCCAGAGGGGCCCUGCAGGCGGAGGCAUGUCCAGAGCCUGGAAGCCGGACAAGCAGAGGCGGACGCCACCCCGAGCAAUCUACAAGGCGACAAAACGAGACAUGGGUGUUACGCCCGCGGGCCUUCCUUUUUCCUGGGAGCCAAGCUUCGACCCGCCCACUACCCUCGGGCACUAGAAAUAUUUCUGUGGCCCCUGCUUGGUCCUAGUGACGUCUCCCUCCCAGACCCAUCCUCUCAAACCCCAUUGGCUUGCGUCGCUCUGACUUCAUUGUGACGGCAACCUACCUGAAUGACGUAGUCCUGAGCCGUAAGGUUAAACCAGACACCCCCAAGGCGGAAGGAGACCUGGGGGAGCGUUGGAAUUUUCGAGCACUGGAUGAGGUACUGAAGGAAAAGAGGAACAAGUGGAGAUGAGGGAUUCCUACUCUGCUCACUCAAUUUCUUUCCGAGGAUCCCCAGAGCAAUAGGAUAAUGUCCGUUUGGGGUAGCUAGGUAUUCAGGGCCUUGUGUGGCCGGCUCUGCUGCCUUCUCUAGCCUUACUGGCUCUUCCCUCACUCCUAUAGAGUUGUUGCCACUUCCUCUAGGCUCCCAUUUGAUCAAAACCUCUUUUCCUCUAAUUGUAAAUCGAAAACUGGUCCUAUUGAGUCCACAGGUGUAUUUAAUUCGUCUUGGUCUUAUACUGUGCCCAAAAUGUUUUAAACAUUAAUCACCAGCGGUAUGCUAUGACGGUACAGGUUGUAUCCUGUGGAGUCUGCUGCUGUGCCAUCUUAGGCAAGUUACUGAACCUCUCUGUGCCUCAGUUUGCACUCUGAAGAUGUAGAUGAUACUACCUCACAGGGAUGUUGUGUGAUAAAUAAAUGAAUUACCUUGAAA